rnacentral:rRNA from 1 species
AAAUUGCCAUUGAUACUGGUUUUCUUGAGUUAUUGUGAAGUGGUUAGAAUGAGUAGUGUAGCGGUGAAAUGCAUAGAUAUUACUCAGAAUACCGAUUGCGAAGGCAGAUCACUAACAAUGAACUGACGCUGAUGGACGAAAGCGUAGGUAGCGAACAGGAUUAGAUACCCUGGUAGUCUACGCCGUAAACGAUGGUUACUAGCUGUUCGGGCAAAUUGAUGUCUGAGUGGCUAAGCGAAAGUGAUAAGUAACCCACCUGGGGAGUACGUUCGCAAGAAUGAAACUCAAAGGAAUUGACGGGGGCCCGCACAAGCGGUGGAGCAUGUGGUUUAAUUCGAUGCAACGCGAAGAACCUUACCAGCCCUUGACAUCCUCGGAACUUACUAGAGAUAG